rnacentral:rRNA from 1 species
UACGUAGGGGGCUAGCGUUGUCCGGAAUCAUUGGGCGUAAAGAGUGUGUAGGCGGCCCGGUAAGUCCGCUGUGAAAGUCGGGGGCUCAACCCUCGAAAGCCGGUGGAUACUGUCGGGCUAGAGUGCGGAAGAGGCGAGUGGAAUUCCUGGUGUAGCGGUGAAAUGCGCAGAUAUCAGGAGGAAUACCAGCGGCGAAGGCGGCGCUCUGGGCCGGUACUGACGCUGAGGAGCGAAAGCGUGGGGAGCAAACAGG